rnacentral:lncRNA from 1 species
CCAUUCAAUAUAACUUGAUUGUUUCUAGGAAGGGAUGAUCAUGGACGUAAGUAAUACAUACACUUGAUUGUGAAUCAAUGAGAGUUUCUUUUGUUGAACGACUGAAAAAUUUCUACUGCACUUUUGAGUGAAAUGAUGGCGAAAAGAACACAGUGAAAUCAAGAACGGCCUGCUGCUCACCGAGUCAAGGAGGAUGUUGGAUGCCUUGAAGACGCUAGAUGACCGGUGUGUCGGCGUAGUGAAGGAAGGCGAGCCCCUUCACCGCACCAAUGGCAGUCUACAUCCUCCUCAUCCAUGGUACAGGACUAUCGAGACCUUCACACAAUUACAGUUCAGGUCAGCUUCUACAAGUCUUUCCGGAAUUGACACAGAGGUGGUGGUGACAAACUGACGGUGAAGGUAGCUUUUGUAGCGUGAGGUUCAGAAUGAAUAAAUGACAUUGCAGACUAUUAAUAUACUGAUGGAAAACAUUGCAAGAUGUGUCUAGACAAUGAACUCAGGAGAUAACGAUAAACUCCAGAGCAAAACAUGGCUGUCCAAGGUUAUGAAAGAUUACAACGUAGCCCAUAUUAAUUUGGUAAAUGUUCAGAAUUAGGAUUAUAAAUUUAGAUACGUUAUAUGAACUAUAAUCCAUUGUUUUCCAUAACAGAACAAAGAUACAAGUCCAACGUAGCCCAUAUUAAUUUGGUAAAUGUUCAGAAUUAGGAUUAUAAAUUUAGAUACAUUAUAUGAACUAUAAUCCAUUGUUUUCCAUAACAAUACAGUAAUUCACAAUCCAAAAUGCAGAUUCAAGUUUAGUUUAUGGACUGAAAAAAAUAAUGUAUGACAAGGUUCAGAAUCAUUUAAUCAAUAAUAAAUACUGUCAAAUUUUCAAAAUAAUCAAUUCACGUUCAGUUUCAUCAAAACAGUACAUGUAAAAAUGCAACAUUCAAAUAAUGCUGUACAAGCAUCAAUUGCAUCGUUCCCUCGGCCUCUGCCAAGUGCCAAGUGACCAACAUGGCUAAAGAGAUCAAUCAUACAGCAUUAAUGUUUCAUUGUUGGCCUGAUACCGUAAUGAUACAACAUGAAAUAUUCAUGAAGUGAAAAAUUUCUCAAAGGUAUAAAAUAAAAAGGAAUUUAGUCCAUCUAAAGGCACUCUUAGUUUUAUAUGCAGAGCAUGCUCAAAACCAGGAAUGACAUGGCAAGCUCGAUGUUUACAUAAAAAUCUCUAGAAAGUUUAGAAUGCGAAUAUACUUAAACAAACUUCAAAGUUUUAAUACCAAAAUAUAUUAAAUGAAGGGAUUUUGUGAAUCUAAAGGAAAAGGUAUCAUCAAGCAGAGUAGCAAGUCAUAUAUAUGGGAUUAGCAUCAUUUACCUCUCUCCUGAACCCCAGUUGUUCUCUUAUUUGCUGCUGGACCAAUGCAUUCCAUUCAUUCCAGUUAUUGCAUCAACUUCUGCUACAGGAUCACUAACAAAUUUC